AAGAGCCGUAUGAAGUGAGAGCUUCACGUACGGUUCUGUGAGAGGCUUAGGCUGAAAUGCCUUUGCCUACUCUAC
rfam:Bacteroidetes bacterium RIFCSPLOWO2_12_FTLL_35_15 rifcsplowo2_12_scaffold_553, whole genome shotgun sequence.